rnacentral:rRNA from 1 species
UCYGGUUGAUCCUGCCRGACCCGACUGCUAUCAGAGUGAGAUUAAGCCAUGCGAGUCAACGUAGCAAUACGUGGCACACGGCUCAGUAACACGUAGUCAACAUAACCAAAGGACGUGGAUAAACUCGGGAAACUGAGGCUAAACCGCGAUAGAUCAAGAUUCCUGGAAUGGUUUUUGAUCAAAAUCUAUAUGGCCUUUGGAUUGGACUGCGUCCGAUCAGGCUGUUGGUGAGGUAAUGGCCCACCAAACCUGUAACCGGUACGGGCUCUGAGAGGAGGAGCCCGGAGAUGGGUACUGAGAAAAGGACCCAGGCCCUAUGGGGCGCAGCAGGCGCGAAACCUCUGCAAUAGGCGAAAGCCUGACAGGGUUACUCUGAGUGACUUUCGCUAAGAAAGUCUUUUGACACCUCUAAAAAUGGUGUAGAAUAAGGGGUGGGCAAGUCUGGUGUCAGCCGCCGCGGUAAUACCAGCACCCCGAGUGGUCGGGACGAUUAUUGGGCCUAAAGCAUCCGUAGCCGGUUUUACAAGUCCUCCGUUAAAUCCAGCUGCUUAACAGAUGGGCUGCGGAGGAUACUAUAAGACUAGGAGGCAGGAGAGGCAAGCGGUACUCAGUGGGUAGGGGUAAAAUCCGUUGAUCCAUUGAAGACCACCAGUGGCGAAGGCGGCUUGCCAGAAUGCGCUCGACGGUGAGGGAUGAAAGCUGGGGGAGCAAACCGGAUUAGAUACCCGGGUAGUCCCAGCUGUAAACGAUGCAGACUCGGUGAUGGACUAGCUUUAUGCUAGUCCAGUGCCGCAGGGAAGCCGUUAAGUCUGCCGCCUGGGUAGUACGGUCGCAAGACUGAAACUUAAAGGAAUUGGCGGGGGAGCACCACAAGGGGUGAAGCCUGCGGUUCAAUUGGABUCAACGCCGGR